AACGAACGCUGGCGGCAUGCCUAACACAUGCAAGUCGAACGAGACCUUCGGGUCUAGUGGCGCACGGGUGCGUAACGCGUGGGAAUCUGCCCUUGGGUUCGGAAUAACAGUUGGAAACGACUGCUAAUACCGGAUGAUGACGUAAGUCCAAAGAUUUAUCGCCCAGGGAUGAGCCCGCGUAGGAUUAGCUAGUUGGUGGGGUAAAGGCCUACCAAGGCGACGAUCCUUAGCUGGUCUGAGAGGAUGAUCAGCCACACUGGGACUGAGACACGCCCCAGACUCCUACGGGAGGCAGCAGUGGGGAAUAUUGGACAAUGGGCGAAAGCCUGAUCCAGCAAUGCCGCGUGAGUGAUGAAGGCCUUAGGGUUGUAAAGCUCUUUUACCCGGGAUGAUAAUGACAGUACCGGGAGAAUAAGCCCCGGCUAACUCCGU
rnacentral:rRNA from 1 species